UGCGGGCGGCCUUGGUGGCCAG
rnacentral:misc_RNA from 1 species